CACGGACAGGGUGAGCGCUGAGAGGAGCUCCGCCCCCUGCACAGCGGCUGAGGGUGAGCUGGAUAUGUCACACCAAAAAGGCCAAAAUGAGGAGGUGGAUCUUAUAGACUGGGAAUCGGAACUGAAAGUCAGCUGGACUCCUCCUGCUCCAAGCUCCUCCUGGCUCCUACCUCCAUGGUCUCUGUCCACCGGUCCCCUCCCGGGGGUCCGUCCUCCACCAGAAACUCCUCCCAAGUUCCCACCCAUGCCUCCCUCUGUUACUAUGGUGCAAGGACGCACCUUCCGGGAGGGGGGCUAAAUGUCAGGAUUAUGGACCUGUCUGUGUGUGUUUUUGUGUGUUUCUGUCUCCCCUGGUUUGUUAAUUUGAUUCCAGGUGUGUCUAGUUUCUUCCCCAUGUGUUCCAUGUCUCCACUAAUCUAAUCAUUCCAUACACCUGUGUUUCCCCUAUUAUCCUGCCUUUUAUAACCCCAGUCCUUUCAGUUCAGUUUUGUUGGGUCUACAAGUCAGUACGUGUGUCUUCCUCCUGUGUUCCAUGUUGGAUUUACCCCUGUGUUGGAUUGUUGUUGACUCUCUCGAUCACUCUCGACUCCUUGUUCAUUCCGGCAGCGUAGCGUGACACUACAACAAAUAAAACUGAUAAUGGGAUGAGGAGGAAGUGCAGAAGAAGCAUAGAAGCAUUUCCGCUGCGUCUGCUUCUGUUACUGAGGGAAAUCUUGUUUUCAGUGACGUCACCUGGACAUUCAUCAGCUUCUUUUCACAUCUCACGAUCUUUGUUUUCCUGAGAUCACUUUCCUAACUUCGUUCUCACCCUAUGUCGCUGAAAAUGAAAUUGAAAUAUGCUAAUUUAAUGCUCUUGUCUCUUUUUUAAGAGAAAUAACUCUCAGUAUUCAUUUCACACAUUUCCUUUUUCCUUUAUUUGAACUGUCUCAGCAGUUGCCGUGUUCUCAAACAAUAAUGCAUCUCUGUUAGAUCACAGAUCAUUGUCAGGCAGGGGGAAAAGAGGCAGUGUCACUUGAACUCCCAC
ensembl:lncRNA